rnacentral:rRNA from 1 species
UACAGAGGGUGCAAGCGUUAAUCGGAUUUACUGGGCGUAAAGCGUGCGUAGGCGGUUCAUUAAGUCGGUUGUGAAAUCCCUGGGCUUAACCUGGGAACUGCAGUCGAUACUGAUGAACUAGAGUGCGGUAGAGGGUGGCGGAACUCCGGGUGUAGCGGUGAAAUGCGUAGAUAUCGCUUGGAACGCCGACGGCGAAAGCAGUCUGCUGGGGGCCUUCUGACGCUGAGACACGAAAGCCAGGGGAGCGAACGGG